rnacentral:rRNA from 1 species
GGGCGCAAGNCCUGAUGCAGCGACGCCGCGUGAGGGAUGGAGGCCUUCGGGUUGUAAACCUCUUUUGUUAGGGAGCAAGGCACUUUGUGUUGAGUGUACCUUUCGAAUAAGCACCGGCUAACUACGUGCCAGCAGCCGCGGUAAUACGUAGGGUGCAAGCGUUAUCCGGAAUUAUUGGGCGUAAAGGGCUCGUAGGCGGUUCGUCGCGUCCGGUGUGAAAGUCCAUCGCUUAACGGUGGAUCCGCGCCGGGUACGGGCGGGCUUGAGUGCGGUAGGGGAGACUGGAAUUCCCGGUGUAACGGUGGAAUGUGUAGAUAUCGGGAAGAACACC